rnacentral:rRNA from 1 species
AGUCAAGUAAUUAAGUGCAUGUGGUGGAUGCCUUGGCAGUCAGAGGCGAUGAAAGACGUGAUAGCCUGCGAAAAGCUCCGGGGAGGCGGCAAAUAUCCUUUGAUCCGGAGAUGUCUGAAUGGGGGAACCCACCUACUUUAAGGUAGGUAUUGCAACAUGAAUACAUAGUGUUGCAAGGCGAACGAGGGGAAGUGAAACAUCUCAGUACCCUUAGGAAAAGAAAUCAAUUGAGAUUCCCUCAGUAGCGGCGAGCGAACGGGGAUCAGCCCAUUAAGUUAUGUGUGUUUUAGUGGAACGCUCUGGGAAGUGCGAACGUAGAGGGUGAUAUUCCCGUACACGAAAGGGCACACAUAAUGAUGACGAGUAGGGCGAGGCACGUGAAACCUUGUCUGAAUAUGGGGGGACCAUCCUCCAAGGCUAAAUACUCCUGACUGACCGAUAGUGAACCAGUACCGUGAGGGAAAGGCGAAAAGAACCCCUGUGAGGGGAGUGAAAUAGAUCCUGAAACCGCAUGCAUACAAGCAGUGGGAGCACCUUCGUGGUGUGACUGCGUACCUUUUGUAUAAUGGGUCAGCGACUUAUAUUCAGUAGCAAGGUUAACCGUAUAGGGGAGCCGUAGAGAAAUCGAGUCUUAAUAGGGCGUUUAGUUGCUGGGUAUAGACCCGAAACCAGGCGAUCUAUCCAUGAGCAGGUUGAAGGUUGGGUAACACUAACUGGAGGACCGAACCCACUGUCGUUGAAAAGCCAGGGGAUGACUUGUGGAUAGGGGUGAAAGGCUAAUCAAGCCUGGUGAUAGCUGGUUCUCCCCGAAAGCUAUUUAGGUAGCGCCUCGGACGAAUACCAUAGGGGGUAGAGCACUGUUUCGGCUAGGGGGUCAUCCCGACUUACCAAACCGAUGCAAACUCCGAAUACCUAUGAGUACUAUCCGGGAGACAGACUGCGGGUGCUAACGUCCGUAGUCAAGAGGAAAACAAUCCAGACCGCCAGCUAAGGCCCCAAAAUCAUAGUUAAGUGGGAAACGAUGUGGGAAGGCAUAGACAGCUAGGAGGUUGGCUUAGAAGCAGCCACCCUUUAAAGAAAGCGUAAUAGCUCACUAGUCGAGUCGGCCUGCGCGGAAGAUGUAACGGGGCUAAAACUAUGUGCCGAAGCUGCGGAUUUGACAUUAGUCAAGUGGUAGGGGAGCGUUCUGUAAGCCGAUGAAGGUGUAUUGAGAAGUAUGCUGGAGGUAUCAGAAGUGCGAAUGCUGACGUGAGUAACGACAAAACGGGUGAAAAACCCGUUCGCCGAAAGACCAAGGGUUCCAGUCCAACGUUGAUGACUUGUGGAUAGGGGUGAAAGGCUAAUCAAGCCUGGUGAUAGCUGGUUCUCCCCGAAAGCUAUUUAGGUAGCGCCUCGGACGAAUACCAUAGGGGGUAGAGCACUGUUUCGGCUAGGGGGUCAUCCCGACUUACCAAACCGAUGCAAACUCCGAAUACCUAUGAGUACUAUCCGGGAGACAGACUGCGGGUGCUAACGUCCGUAGUCAAGAGGAAAACAAUCCAGACCGCCAGCUAAGGCCCCAAAAUCAUAGUUAAGUGGGAAACGAUGUGGGAAGGCAUAGACAGCUAGGAGGUUGGCUUAGAAGCAGCCACCCUUUAAAGAAAGCGUAAUAGCUCACUAGUCGAGUCGGCCUGCGCGGAAGAUGUAACGGGGCUAAAACUAUGUGCCGAAGCUGCGGAU